GUAAAGGGUAAUAUAAGGGUGACCAGCCAAGAAUAAAAGCAAAAAAAUGAAGGGUUUUAUGGUAAAUUGGAUAAAAUAAUAGUUGAUCACCUGUGUUGCACUCCACUAUUUCAGUUCUUUGCUUGUAUAUUUAUUUUAAUUGUACAAGAUUUUUGAGAUAAAUCUUGACUGACCAGCUGUUCAAUAUAGAAUCUGGACCAAACUUAGGUUUAACUCAGACUUUUUUUUCUGAUAUUCUGUUAUUUUUGUGUGCUCCAUAUUACCAUUGACUUCUCAGAAGUGUCUAGAGUCAUUUUAAACAGAUUAAAUGAUGCUAGCCAAUGCCAAUUUAAUUCACCUGAGUUAUUUUUCAGCAGACCAUUUAUUGUACAUGGAUUGCGCAGCUUGAUCGAAAGAGUGAUUCGGAUCAAAUACUGCCUCCCAUACCUUUCAGCCAUCCUUACAGAGGAGUUCCGCAGUCUUCUUUUAAGCCUGAAGUGGUCUCGUGCAGUGAGUUUGAUGUAAAAGAAGGUUUGCGUCACACACCCUGAGACUACAUCCACUGUCAACAGUGUCAGCAUCUGGAGGAUUUUCAUUUUUUUGCCUCCUCUGUCUUCGGAGAUGGUGGCACCAGGGCGUCGGAGUCAUUUUGUCACUUUAUAACGCUGACAGAGAGUCUGUAUCCAUCUGAUCCAUCAUGACAGAUAUUUUUCUUCAUGAUGCAGCAUUUGCCGAGGGAGAGAGCCUGAUACUCAGACGAGCACAGCAUAAAUAUAAAUCAAGAUCCAGGACUCAAGUUCCAUACACAAUUAGAGCAGACCAUUUAUUGUACAUGGAUUGCGCAGCUUGAUCGAAAGAGUGAUUCGGAUCAAAUACUGCCUCCCAUACCUUUCAGCCAUCCUUACAGAGGAGUUCCGCAGUCUUCUUUUAAGCCUGAAGUGGUCUCGUGCAGUGAGUUUGAUGUAAAAGAAGGUUUGCGUCACACACCCUGAGACUACAUCCACUGUCAACAGUGUCAGCAUCUGGAGGAUUUUCAUUUUUUUGCCUCCUCUGUCUUCGGAGAUGGUGGCACCAGGGCGUCGGAGUCAUUUUGUCACUUUAUAACGCUGACAGAGAGUCUGUAUCCAUCUGAUCCAUCAUGACAGAUAUUUUUCUUCAUGAUGCAGGUAAAAUUAUUAGUAUACUAGUCUCUGUCUCUUUACUGUGAGGCAUAUUUGUGGUAUCAAACCAGAACAAUUACCCUUCUAGAUUGUUUAACAUUGUCAAAAAAUUCUCUUUUUCUAGGUGUAAAUUCCAAAAAUUUUACAAUUUAUCAGUUCUGUUUAUUACUACAAUGACUGAGCUGUAAUAUAAUGUCAAAAAUAUGUACCUCUCCUUUUUCAAAAUUACUGUAAUACAAAAUGACAGGGGGCACCUGCUAGUUCUCUAAGCUGCAUUAGACUGGGGGGUGGUGAUAUUGUUUAAACCUGCUAAAUCAACAGGAAAGGCCAGAUUAGGAUUAAUUGGCUUAUCAGAGUCAAUAAUGAUUAAAUUUUCAUGAUGUGAAUAUUUUUUACUUAUAAGUCAAUAUUUAGCCUGUUUAAUUUGCAUAAUUCACCAGGUUUUCAUCUAAUUUAAGAGGUUUUCUCAAAUUCUGGGUAGAAUCCACCCUUAUUUAAAAAAUUUAUCAAAUUUGUUCAUGAUACCCUUAAAUACAUUUAAACAAACACAUUCAUGUAUUUUUCCAUGUAUUUUAUUUGUUAAAGUCAUUA